GGAGUCUGUUGGCUGCUUUGUAAAGAAGAAAGAGUCAGUGCUUUGAGGAGAUGCCCAUGAGAGGCACCAAGAAGGUAUGAAACUUUGGUGAUAAGGAAACAACAGUAUGGAACCCCUGCAAUAAGAUGACAACAAAAUGGCAUCAUACAAGCUCCCUUCAGCCCCUGGAAGGCCCUGAUUACAUCACCCUGAGAUGCACAGUAAAAAGGGGAAGUUUGUCAGUGCACCACCCCAGCAAGCUCUCAGGAAGGAUUUUAUACCAGCCUGCAUUGCCAGCAUUGCAAAAGAACUCCUUGCUGUGAUGGAGGGAGGGGCUGUCAGGACUGUUUUGACUUUCUGACUGCUUUUUGAGCCAUUUUCCAACCUCUUGCAUGUUUUUUGCACUUUAAUGAACAGAAGAUGUAGUCAGAGACUCGGCAGCAGGCUUGGAGAGCCAGGAGCAGAGGGAGGCACUCACCUUCCUGGCCAGCUUUUCCCUGCCACCCAGCAAUAAACAACUCUUUUAUUUCAUGCUGAUGUUAACGUGCAAGCGUCUUCCCUUUCAGCAGAGGCACCUCAGGUGUUAGACAGUAAAACAUAGCUCUUGUAGUAGGAACAGAGACAAGCUCCCAAUCCAUUUAUUGAUGUUGCUGGUGCACCAUCAGUGCUUGCUCCAGAGUCUGUGUUCCUGUAUCUUUUUUUGCAAUAUUCCCAAACUGCGUCUCCUUGAGACCUCUGCUUUACACUAGUGAAAAAUCUAUGAGAUGCUACAUUAUUGACUAGCCAAUGGUCCUCUUCCUUUAUAACUAGCUGAUUUUAUAUGACUUAACCUCAGAGCUACUUGGAAAUUAGAAAGAAAACCCAGCUCUAGAACUAUAAGGCAUUAUUGUCUGGGACUUUGAGAUCAGCUGCUAAAGUCACAUGGGAAAGGGUUACUUAACAGAAAAA